rnacentral:lncRNA from 1 species
GAUUGACUCAACUCAAUUCUUCAAGCCUCCCGCUCUAAAUCGAUGGGAAAACUGCGGCAUGAUGAUUGAAUUUGGGGUUGAUUAGUGGUUGGAUCUGUGAGGUUUCAGUAGUGAAAUUUUAGGCUAGAGCAGUGGGCGUGCUGGGCAGUGGGUAGUGUGUGGUUGUGGACUUGUGGGAUCAAAUGAGUUUUAAAUUUGAAGUGAUUUAGGCUGGAGCCUUCUGAUUUGUGGAUAUGUUGAUUGUACUCAUUCUAGUCUAG